rnacentral:rRNA from 1 species
AUUGAACGCUGGCGGCAGGCUUAACACAUGCAAGUCGAGCGGAGAUGAGGUGCUUGCACCUUAUCUUAGCGGCGGACGGGUGAGUAAUGCUUAGGAAUCUGCCUAUUAGUGGGGGACAACAUUCCGAAAGGAAUGCUAAUACCGCAUACGUCCUACGAGAGAAAGCAGGGGAUCUUCGGACCUUGCGCUAAUAGAUGUGCCUAAGUCGGAUUAGCUAGUUGGUGGGGUAAAGGCCUACCAAGGCGACGAUCUGUAGCGGGUCUGAGAGGAUGAUCCGCCACACUGGGACUGAGACACGGCCCAGACUCCUACGGGAGGCAGCAGUGGGGAAUAUUGGACAAUGGGGGGAACCCUGAUCCAGCCAUGCCGCGUGUGUGAAGAAGGCCUUAUGGUUGUAAAGCACUUUAAGCGAGGAGGAGGCUACUGAGACUAAUACUCUUGGAUAGUGGACGUUACUCGCAGAAUAAGCACCAGCUAACUCUGUGCCAGCCGCCGCGGUAAGAC